AGAUGGCGACCGGCGCACGGGUGAGUAACACGUAUCCAACCUGCCGAUGACUCGGGGAUAGCCUUUCGAAAGAAAGAUUAAUACCCGAUGGCAUAGUUCUUCCGCAUGGUAGAACUAUUAAAGAAUUUCGGUCAUCGAUGGGGAUGCGCUCCAUUAGGUUGUUGGCGGGGUAACGGCCCACCAAGCCUUCGAUGGAUAGGGGUUCUGAGAGGAAGGUCCCCCACAUUGGAACUGAGACACGGUCCAAACUCCUACGGGAGGCAGCAUG
rnacentral:rRNA from 1 species